UGUGGUUUCACUGUUACAAGUUUCUUGGCGAUAUGGGGGAAAGUUCCUCACAUACCAACGGAAAAUGGGCUUCACAUACAUGUAAGUAAAUUUUACUCAACUGUGGUUUAAAGUUUCAGUACUCAAGAGCGAUUGAAUAGCUCCUCUGAACACAGAUCCGCCAUUGCUAAGUUGUAGCACAAGUCCCCUCAAUGAAUGUGACUACUCUUGUUGCUGCUGUACGCUAGUAAAUUCUGACAACUUGCGAGCAUCGUAAUGACAAAAUGCAGUAGUGAAACGGUGAAUAUGUUAAGUAUACUUGUUGAUGGAAAGUUGUUUGACAUUGCUCGUUCUCAAUUGCCUUUCCCCUGCCUAAAGAUGAUUCCCAGUUUGUCGCUCCCAGCGCGGUUCGAUCCCCAGUCGGUUCGCUCCCACUAGCCAGACUAUCGAGCCCACCGAGCUAGUUAUCUUUUUGAUGUUAGUUUUUUUGUUACGUACCCUAAACCUAACCCUUACCUUAACCCUAAACCUAACCCUGAAUUGCUUGUAUGUGGUAGUGUAUGAUAAUACGAGAAAUGUAAUCGGGUGGGAUAGAACGCCUGGGAUUGAUAGAAUCACCUGGGACUACACGUCCGGGAGUGAUCUUACAUGGGAGUGACCAUCUCCCAGCGCUUAAGAUUGACAAAGGCUACGUUAGCAUGCUAUUGCGUUAGCUCAUCAACUAGUUGCUGGGCACUGCUCAUUUUUCACGUCUGCCCGGCAUUUCGCUGAUGAACUAACGCUUGGACGUCUUGCCAAUGUAUUUUACAGCGGCAAAAAUGCAUCUAGGCGACGUUGGCAAGAUUGGUGUGCCGUCUGGGUAUGUUGGUUUUCAGUGCUGGGCAGUAGCGAAGCGACUAGUUUAAUUACAUUCCCUAGUAGCUUGGUCGUAGCGUCAUUACUCGACUAACGUCCCUGUAGUUAGGAAAGAAAUAGUUUGGAAAUCAAUGUGAAAUACCCUGGCAUUUGCAACAGUAGGCAACCUGUCCUUAAAAAGUAUGGGUCCUCAAAACACCACUUGUUGCACAAAUAAGUGUUGCAAUAGAGCACGCCACCCCGAAAUCAAUGUGAAAUACCCUGGCAUUUGCAACAGUAGGCAGGCAGCAUGUCCUUAAAACGUAUGGGUCCUCAAAACAGCACUUGUUGAACAAAUAAGUGUAGCUGGCCUCUUCAAGAAAUUGAAAUUAUGCAUGGUCACUUUUUCUUAUUGUUUCACGUGGAGGUCUACUGACAUUGUAUAAAUAAUGUAGGCUAGUUUAUGUCCAUGUAUUAUAUUAGGACCCAAGGUUAAUGGGUUAUUCUGUUUACCAUGUUUUCACAGGCUGCUGUCUCAUAAUAUGGCGAAGACGAGUCACUUGAAGGCCUAACAGCUCUUAUGAGGAGCAGUCUUGCCAUAGAAGACUGAAAGAAUGUAAGAUUAACUUCUUUGUGACCAAUAUGACUUGCUCAUUGAUACAUUAGCUAUGUCAAUAUGAGAUGCAUGGCGAAGUAUUUAAUUUAUUUGUCUCUCUUCUAGGAGCUGUAGAAACAACAGGGUGCCUGCUGCAGUAUGACGAGGACGCCCUGAUCAUAGAAGGUCCAGUGUCUUGGCAGGGUGAAAUGGCACUGAUAUCGUGUCCUGCAGGAUGCUGUGUCCUGCAAUCCUGUGUGCUGUGCUACAGACGCGUGUGGAGGUCAACCCGAAAUGGGCACAGUAGAGUGAAAGAGGAUCCUGGCAGGGAGACGGUAGUGUCCUGCAGGAUGGUGAUGGGCAAUCUUACAAGAGACCACAGAAAACUGAUAUAGUGUAAGAUUAUCCCUGUUGGGCUCAAUAUGUCUUGCUUAUUGAUAUAUUUGCUAUGUCAAUAUGAGGUGCAUGACGAAGUAUUUAUUUAUUUGUUAUUUCUACAGCUCCCAGAAGUGAGACUGAGUGCCUGUUGCAGUAUGACGAGGAAGCAGUGACCAGAGACCUUCAGUAGACCCUGCUGGCAUGAUUGGCGGCUGAAGAACAUAAUCAACAGCAAUGUUUACUUUAUAAUAUUGUACAUACCUGUAUAGUCUGCACUAAAAUGCUGUACCUGUACUAUUUUUCCUCUUACUUUCAUAUUUACCACGUAUUUACUAUGAAUUGAC